GUCCACGCCGUAAACGAUGGAUACUAGCUGUUGGGCGCAAGUUCAGUGGCUAAGCGAAAGUGAUAAGUAUCCCACCUGGGGAGUACGUUCGCAAGAAUGAAACUCAAAGGAAUUGACGGGGGCCCCGCACAAGCGGUGGAGCAUGUGGUUUAAUUCGAUGAUACGCGAGGAACCUUACCAAGGCUUAAAUGUAGUUUGACCGAUUAGGAAACUAGUCUUUCGCAAGACAAAUUACAAGGUGCUGCAUGGUUGUCGU
rnacentral:rRNA from 1 species